rnacentral:rRNA from 1 species
CCUACGGGGUGCAGCAGUGAGGAAUAUUGGUCAAUGGACGAGAGUCUGAACCAGCCAAGUAGCGUGAAGGAUGACUGCCCUAUGGGUUGUAAACUUCUUUUAUAUGGGAAUAAAAUGUUCCACGUGUGGGAUUUUGUAUGUACCAUAUGAAUAAGGAUCGGCUAACUCCGUGCCAGCAGCCGCGGUAAUACGGAGGAUCCUAGCGUUAUCCGGAUUUAUUGGGUUUAAAGGGAGCGUAGGUGGAUUGUUAAGUCAGUUGUGAAAGUUUGCGGCUCAACCGUAAAAUUGCAGUUGAAACUGGCAGUCUUGAGUACAGUAGAGGUGGGCGGAAUUCGUGGUGUAGCGGUGAAAUGCUUAGAUAUCACGAAGAACUCCGAUUGCGAAGGCAGUUCACUGGACUGCAACUGACACUGAGGCUCGAAAGUGUGGGUAUCAAACAGGAUUAGAUACCCGGGUAGUC